AGGAGGACAAGAGACUUCUAUACGCUAUGGAGGGACGAUUUGGGUGACAUCUGAGACGCAGCCGCACAUCAACAAGCGUCCGGGCUCCAGGGACAUGGCGGCGGCCUCUGUGGUGUCGGUGCUGCUGGUGGCGACUGAGAGGAACCAGUGGCAGCCAGUCCAGAGCCCGCUGCUGCUGCCGCUGCCGCUGCCGAGGCAACGAUCCAAAAGGUAGUUCUGGCACUUGGAUACUACUACCUUGGAGCAACUUGUCAUGCCUGCAUUGUGUGGAACCAGUGUUCAAAAUAAAAUGCAAAAACUUCAGGCUGGUGGAGGAGGGAGCACACAACGUCCUGGUACUCCAGGGAGACCAUUUGAUAUGUUAAAUAGAAUAUAUCAUUGUUGUGUUGCUUUCUGCCUUAAUGCCAAUUGAUAUGCUGAAGACCUCAAAAAGUUCCUGAGAAAUCCAUUUCAAAUUCUAGUGAAGAAAGAGGAACUGACCUUUGAAAAGAUCAAUAUCUUAUAAUAACUUUGAAAGAGGAAUUGGCAGCAGGAGUCAAUUUGGGAGGAAGGCUGUGGCCAUAAACAUUGAAGAAGACAAGAAGAUUCCUUGUGACACUGAGCCUUUCUGCCAUACUACACUGGAGGAAAUGCCAAUGAAUGUGGCUGACCUAAUUUAAUUCCUGGGAUGAAAUGGUUUUGAAUGUAGUGCUUGCUGUUGGUGAAUAGGCAAUCACAAGGUGCACUGUGCUUCUUUUGGGGGAAAUAUUUGAAGCUUUGUCUCAAUGCUCAUAGCAGAUCAAAAAUAUAGAUUUUGAUAGCAAAGCAACUUCAGCCAUGAGCUCAUGUGAGGAAAGUCAUUGGCUUUAUCCUCUUUAGAAUUAAACUGUUGGGGUGGCUAUAAAAGAUGGGCUUGUACCCAAUUGAAAAAUGGGCAGAAGACCUAAAUAUACAUUUCUCCAAAGAAGACAUACAGAUGGCCAACAGGCAAAUGAAAAAAGUUUCAACAUUGCUAAUUAUCAGAGAAAUGCAAAUCAAAACUACAAUGAGAUACUGCCUCACACCAGUCAGAAUAGCCAACAUUAAAAAGUCUACAAAUAGCAUAUGCUGGAGAGGGUGUGGAGAAGAGGGAACCCUCUUACACUGUUGGUGGAAAUGUAAAUUGGUGCAGCCACUAUGGAGAACAGUAUGGAGGUUCCUCAAGAAACUAAAAAUAGAAUUACCAUAUGAUCCAGCAAUCCCACUCCUGGGCAUAUAUCCAGAUAAAACUAUAAUUCAAAAAGAUACAUGCACCCCUAUGGUCAUAGCAACACUAUUCACAAUAGCCAAGACAUGGAAACCACCUAAAUGUCCACCUAGAGAUGAAUGGAUAAAGAAGAUGUGGUACAUAUAAUACAAUGGAAUACUACUCAGCCAUAAAAAAGAAUGAAAUAAUGCCAUUUGCAGCAACAUGGAUGGAACUGGAGAUUAUCAUACUAAGCGAAGAAGUCAGAAAGAGAAGGAAAAAUACCAUACGAUAUCACUUAUAUGUGGAAUCUAAAAUAUGACACAAAUGAACCUACCUACGAAACAGAAACAGACUCACAGACAUAGAGAACAGAUCUGUGUUUGCCAAGGCAGUGGGGGUGGGGAGAGGAGCGAUGGAGUGGGAGUUUGGGGUUAGCAGAUGCAAACUAUUAUAUACAGGAUGGAUAAACAACGAGGUCCUACUGUAUAGCACAGGGAACUAUAUUCAACAUCUUGUGAUAAAACAUAAUGGAAAAGACUAUGAAAAAGAAUACAUAUAUAUGUAUAACUGAAUCACUUUGCUGUAGAGCAGAAAUUAACUCAACAUUGUAAAUCAACUAUACUUCAAUUUAAAAAAAAGAUGGGGUUGUAAAUCUUUCUUAGAAUUUUAUCUCCUAGUUCUCUACACAUGGUUAUAUUGAGUGUUCACUAUCAUUUAAUAAUAUACUUGUUGACUGAAAGAUACAUGCUAUAUAAAAGCAGCCUAUUAUAUUAAACUAGUAUAUCUGCUGUUAUUGUGUUAGUCACUAGACUGAAUGGAACUAACUUUAAAAUGAUUUUUUCAGAAAAUAUUUGAAUUUAUUUUUUUUGGUAUCGUUUUUAUUCAGUAAGGCAUUUUAUUAGUGGUAAGUGUAAACUAGAGUCUUUUGCUAAACACCAGCAACAAUCAUGUCCUACAGUUAAAUCUCAGAAAAAUUGCUGUAUUGUAUAUUGAAUUUUCAAUAAAUUAAAAUGAAGUCUUUUUUCUUUAAA